rnacentral:rRNA from 1 species
UACGUAGGGGGCAAGCGUUGUCCGGAAUCAUUGGGCGUAAAGAGCGUGUAGGCGGCCCGGUAAGUCCGCUGUGAAAGUCCAGGGCUCAACCCUGGGAUGCCGGUGGAUACUGUCGGGCUCGAGUCCGGAAGAGGAGUGUGGAAUUCCUGGUGUAGCGGUGAAAUGCGCAGAUAUCAGGAGGAACACCAAUGGCGAAGGCAGCACUCUGGGGCGUGACUGACGCUGGGACGCGAAAGCGUGGGGAGCGAACAGG